CUAAAUCUCUCUCUAAUUCUCAAGUCUACUGCCGCCCUCCCCUUCCCUCCCCCAUUCGGCCUCUCCGUCACUCUGGUAUAGUCGUGCACCUCCCGCCGAUCGUUCCUCUGCUCCACGCUGUCAACGUCGUUCUGCGUCCGGUUCCUGCGUCCGCUGGUCUGCUUGCUUCUUUGCUCUUCUCCGCCACUUCCUCUGAAUCUCCUUUCUCUCUGUUGACAAAAAUCUUGUUGAGGUUUUUGCUAAAGGAGUACAUGUGGAUACUGUUGUUUUGAUGGCAGCUCAAGCUUCUAGAACAGAGAAUCAAGAUGCAAUUGAUUCUGCCAUUGUUGGAAUGCAAUUGAUUCUGCCACUGUUUGAUGUCUCAUUAUCCAUUUAAUUUGGAAAAAUGCUCGUGCUGGAAUUCAAGAAGUUCAUUUCCUUCCUUUUAAUCCAACUGAUAAGCGGACAGCCUCGACUUACAUUGAUAGUGAAGGUAAAAUGCAUAGAGUUAGCAAAGGUGCCCCAGAGCAGAUUCUAAAUCUUGCUCGCAAUAAGUCAGAUAUUGAACGAAGAGUUCAUGCUGUCAUUGACAAGUUUGCAGAUGAUGCUCUAAGACUUGGCCUGGUGUAGGGGGAUAGGACUGAUAAAAAAGAUACAAGUGCUUUUAAUACAUGGAAAGAUAUCAUUAUUCCUGGCAAUGUGGAUGAUGGGAUGACCAGAAGAGGAACUCCCAUGGUUCAACCUUUGCCAUUAUCAAAGAGGAAGUACUUGGCAAACUAUCUAGGUCGUGCACAAGGAAAAGUUGGCCGUCUUAAGUUAAUAGAGCUUGCAAAGCAAUAUCCAGAUAAGUUGGAAUCUCCAGAAUUGAAGUUUAGUGGCCCUGACAAGCUUGGGAGGAUGGAAUAUUUUCAAAACCUGAGGAAUGCCAAAUUCUGCCUCGCUCCACGUGGAGAGUCUUCUUGGACACUUCGCUUUUAUGAGUCCUUUUUUGUGGUCUCUCUCUCUCAAACACAAAUACACAUUUGCGGUCUUUUGCUGUUGCAUACCAGAGGCUUUCUGGAGCAUCUUUGCUAAUACUAGCAAAUAAGCAAGACCUAAAAGGUGCUCUUACACCAGAUGAAAUUGCUAAGGUACUAAACCUGGAGAAUAUGGACAAAACCAGGCAUUGGAAAAUCGUGGGUGUAGCGCAUACAUAGGGGAGGGGCUGCUUGAGGGAUUUGAUUGGUUGGUUCAGGACAUGAUGAUACCUUAGGAUGUAGUCAACAUUAAGCAAUAGAGUCAGGUUUUUUUUUAUUGGCCCUCUUAGAGAACUGAUUAAGGUCCAUUUGUACUGUUUUAUUAACUAUCUUAUUGUUGUGGAAUUUAGUCAAGCUGUGAAUUCGACAAAAAAAAAAAAAAAACUCAAACUGUGAAACUUUUUGGAUCAA